CAUGAUGGUUACUGAAACGGCAAGCAACCUGUCUAGAGUGUGUUUAUUUUGAUUGUGGAUGGUGUUUGUUACAAAACGACAAUUCUCUUCUCCCUAUUAUCUAUCCAUGAAUUGUUAAUUAUUUCCAAAUAUGGAUUCAACGGGCAGCUCUCUACAGGGGUCAAGCUAUUUGACGAUACAUGCAAGACUCUGUUCAGUGUUUAAAGCAAUAGGAGAAGCUGUGAUCUCUAGUUUUGUUGGUUGCUUUAUUUUCUACACUUCAACUCCAAAACUCCAUUGUUAUACCUUCAACGACCUCAAUCAUAUUGCUAGCAGAACUCUAUUUACUGUCAAUGAGGUGGAGGCUUUGCUUGAGCUGUUCAAAAAGCUGAGUAGUUCAAUAAUUGAUGAUGGCUUUAUACACAAGGAAGAGCUUCAAUUGGCACUACUGAGAACUACAGCCGGCAAAAACAUUUUCUUGGACAGGUUAUUUGAUAUUUUCGAUGAGAAGAAAGAAGGUGUUAUUGAUUUUGAGGAAUUUGUAUAUGCAUUCAAUGUUUUUCAUCCCCGAGCCUGUCUAGAGGACAAAAUUGAUUUUCUUUGUUCCUUUGGGUUUAAUGCAGUUUCAUUUAGGUUGUAUGAUUUGAGACAGACGGGAUAUAUCGAGAAGGAAGAAUUUUCAGGUCAGGCAAAUGUUAAAUGCCACUAUGUUGGAAUCUGGCUUACAGCUUUCAGAGGAACAUCUCGAAGCCAUAAUUGAAAAGACAUUUGCCGAUGCCGAUGUCGACAAGGAUGGUAAAAUUAACAAAGAAGAAUGGAAGGCAUUUGUUAUUUUGCACCCAACCCUUUUGAAGCACAUGACUCUUCCUUACCUGAAGGACAUCACCACAGUGUUUCCGAGUUUUAUUUUCAACACUGAAGUUGCUGACUAAAGUUUUGGCACCAAUUUUCUUCCGAAGCAACUGAUAAAGAAGUCCAAUUGCAGAUGGCAAACUAGCUUCCAGAUUUGCCACUGUUUAUUUUACAUCUUCUACUGCUGUAUAUUUGAUUAAAUUGCAGAUGGAAGAGGGGUUUUACCGCUGUACAUUUGAUUAAAUUGCAGAUGGAAAAGGACAAACCCUUCUGCAUAUAUUUAUUUAUUUAUUUUUGUUCACAGCUAAAUUGCCAAAAUUGUAUAUAUAUCAUUUGAACCAUGUACUCUCAUGUUCCCAAAUAUUUGUCCCUUUUGAAAAA